rnacentral:rRNA from 1 species
UACGUAGGGGGCUAGCGUUGUCCGGAUUUAUUGGGCGUAAAGAGCGUGUAGGCGGCCAGGUAGGUCUGCUGUGAAAACUCGAGGCUCAACCUCGAGACGUCGGCGGAAACCAUCUGGCUAGAGUCCGGAAGAGGAGAGUGGAAUUCCUGGUGUAGCGGUGAAAUGCGCAGAUAUCAGGAAGAACACCAAUGGCGAAGGCAGCUCGCUGGGACGUGACUGACGCUGAGACGCGAAAGCGUGGGGAGCAAACAGG